rnacentral:rRNA from 1 species
UAAGGAAUCUUCCGCAAUGGACGAAAGUCUGACGGAGCAACGCCGCGUGCAGGAUGACGGCCUUCGGGUUGUAAACUGCUUUUAUAUGGGAAGAUUAUGACGGUACCAUAUGAAUAAGGACCGGCUAACUACGUGCCAGCAGCCGCGGUAAUACGUAGGGUCCAAGCGUUAUCCGGAAUCACUGGGCGUAAAGCGUGCGUAGGUGGAUGUUUAAGUGAGAGGUUAAAUCGUGUGGCUCAACCAUAUCGAUGCUUUUCAUACUGGACAUCUAGAGGACGGCAGAGGCAAGUGGAAUUACGAGUGUAGCAGUGAAAUGCGUAGAUAUUCGUAGGAACACCAAUGGCGAAGGCAGCUUGCUGGGCCACUCCUGACACUGAGGUACGAAAGCGUGGGGAGCGAACAG